CGUUGUCUCCGACAACUGCCAAUGUUCCAGUGAUUUGAGAGGAACGCCUUCGGGUAAUCGCAUGCCAAUGCCAUCAUGACCUGAGAGAUGGCGCUUUCGGGCGGUUAAGUUAAAUCUGUUUAUCCUUUGAAAACAGAGACCUUCGGGUUAAGGCUCAC
rfam:Serratia sp. ATCC 39006 ctg2, whole genome shotgun sequence.